AGGCUGAAGCUGUUGAGAAAGUUGUGGAAUUUAUGAAUACAUAUUCUAUCAGUCAGGAAGACUUCGAUACUAUUGUAGAGUUGUCAAAAUUCAAGGAAGCCAUGGAAUAGACAUAAAGGGGCCAACAAAAUGAGAUUGAGAACGUGCAAUGGAGUGGGGUGGUAGGCAUAAUAUAGCUGGAGUGAAACGAAAGAGAGGUACCACCAACCAUGAUUUUUCUUUUCUUUUUCCAAUUCACUGUUUCCUUCCAAAACACUAAGGACCCAGAAUCUAGUUGGUGCUCUUAGAGGGAUCUUACACUUAAAAUACAGGUUUAAAUUAAUCUUUUUUUUCUUAUUUAUCCUUUUAUUUUUGGAUCAAG